rnacentral:rRNA from 1 species
AACAAACGCUGGCGGCGUGCCUAACACAUGCAAGUCGUGCGAGAAAGUCCCCUUCGGGGGGCGAGUAAAGCGGCGAAAGGGUGAGUAACACGUGGGUAACCUGCCCCUUGGACUGGGAUAACCCGCCGAAAGGUGGGUUAAUACCGGAUAAGACCACGCGGACAUAAGUCCGAGCGGUAAAAGAUGGCCUCUGCUUGCAAGCUAUCACCGAGGGAUGGGCCCGCGGCCUAUUAGCUAGUUGGUCGGGUAACGGCCUAACAAGGCUAUGAUGGGGAGGCGGACUGAGAGGGUGUACGGGCACACUGGAACUGAGACACGGUCCAGACUCCUACGGGAGGCAGCAGUGGGGAAUUUUGCGCAAUGGGGGAAACCCUGACGCAGCAACGCCGCGUGAGUGAUGAAGGCCUUCGGGUCGUAAAACUCUUUUGGUGGGGAAGAAAUGCGCAGCGGUCAACACCCGCGGCGCUUGACGGUACCCGCAGAAAAAGUCCCGGCUAACUCCGUGCCAGCCGCCGCGGUAAGAC